ACUUUGACUGGGACAAAGCAAGAGCGAGAGGAGAGGAAUAAACACAGGAGGAGGAAAAAAAAAAGAAAAAGAAAAAGAAAAAAAGUAUCUGGGGGAAGGCAGGGAGUCUAGUACCCAGUAGAUGGUGCUGUGAUCAAAUUCUAAACCUGUCACCGACUCUCAGCAACCGAUAGAGGAAGUGAGGGGAAAUGACAAGCCCGUCAGUGUUAAAGGCAUACAGUUAAAUGGCUUCAGCCAUUUCCCUCACUUUAAAUAAAGAUUAAUCAUGACGGUGACGACGACAGCGACGGUGAGGAAAGAGGAGGAGGAAGCAAAGCUCCCAGCUCGGAACCGUCGGCUCCAGUGGACAAUAUGAGUGGCUGAGAUGACAGGCCCUCACCAUCAGGCCUAGUUCCUUCAGUAUAGCUGAGCUGUCUGUUCCUGAAGAGGCACUGGGAAGGAAGAGGCACCGAGCUCAACGCAGGAUUCUGGAAUCUCUGGGCCUCUCUUCUGACUGGCUGGCCCUGGUCGUCUUCCUCACCUCAGGACCCAGCAGCCAUCCAGCUGCCACCUUCUAUGUGAUCUGACCAGCCUUUCCCAUCAGAAUCCAUUCCUGUGAUGAAGUCCCGCUUCUUCUAAAUCUGGAGACUCAGCAGGGAAGAUAGGGCUCCUGCCAUGAAAGCAUUCGGAGGCAGACUACUGCAUCUUCUCUGAGGGUUUGCAUUUCAAAGCUGGGAACAAAGAGGACAGAUGUGUAAAUGUCCUUGGUCACCCUGCAGGUGAACACAACUGAAAGAACGGGCCCUGUAAGGGCUCUCCUACAGCAAGGUCUUCACAGCCAGAAUGGAACCCUCAGCAUCUUCCUGCCACCCCUGAGAUUCUACUCCGUCCCAGGGAGGGGAAGGACGAGAAGGACUAAUUAAUCUCCCAACAUUCAUGCUCUUGCCGAAGAGAGCACUUCAAAACUAGGCACAGAAUGGGUGCAAAGACACUUGUCACUUUUGAUGGGUGAGAAGUGGACUUUUUCCUCUCUCGUUGCCUACCUUUCCUCAAGGGAGGAAGGGCUUCUUUCUCCAGGAUGCAGACUUCCCAGGGUGCUGCUGACACAGGGCCUAGGCUCAUCUCUGUGGAGCCCAGGGUAGGAGGGUAGAGGAACUGGCACUGCUCCAAAGACAAGAAGAG